rnacentral:rRNA from 1 species
UACGUAGGGGGCAAGCGUUGUCCGGAAUCAUUGGGCGUAAAGAGCGUGUAGGCGGCUCGAUAAGUCUGCUGUGAAAGUCCAGGGCUCAACCCUGGAAGGCCGGUGGAAACUGUCGGGCUAGAGUCCGGAAGAGGCGAGUGGAAUUCCCGGUGUAGCGGUGAAAUGCGCAGAUAUCGGGAGGAACACCAAUGGCGAAGGCAGCCCCCUGGGCCAACACUGACGCUCAGGCACGAAAGCGUGGGGAGCAAACAGG